UACGAAGGGGGCUAGCGUUGUUCGGAUUUACUGGGCGUAAAGCGCACGUAGGCGGAUUGGUCAGUUAGGGGUGAAAUCCCAGAGCUCAACUCUGGAACUGCCUCUAAUACUGCCAGUCUCGAGUCCGGAAGAGGUAAGUGGAACUCCUAGUGUAGAGGUGGAAUUCGUAGAUAUUAGGAAGAACACCAGUGGCGAAGGCGGCUUACUGGUCCGGUACUGACGCUGAGGUGCGAAAGCGUGGGGAGCAAACAGG
rnacentral:rRNA from 1 species